UUAUGUUUCUAAUAUAUGCUUCAACUAUUUUUCCAGUGUGUUCGUUAUAUUUUCAAAAUUUAAGAAAUAGGGAAUCCUUUCCCCAUUUCUUGUUUUUAUCAGGUUUGUCAAAGAUCAGAUGGUUGUAGGUGUGUGUUGUUAUUUCAGAGGAGUCUUUUCUGUUCCAUUGGUCUAUAUAUCUGUUUUGGUACAAGUACCAUGCUGUUUUGGUUACUGUAGCCUUGUAGUAUAGUUUGAAAUCAGGUGGUGUGAAGCCUCAAGCUUUGUUCUUUUUGGUUAGGAUUGUCUUGUCAAUGCAGGCUCUUUUUUGGUUCCAUAUA
rnacentral:lncRNA from 10 species